UACGUAGGGGGCAAGCGUUGUCCGGCUUUACUGGGCGUAAAGAGCGUGUAGGCGGCCACGCAGGUCCGUUGUGAAAACUGGAGGCUCAACCUUCAGACGUCGACGGAAACCGUGUGGCUAGAGUCCGGAAGAGGAGAGUGGAAUUCCUGGUGUAGCGGUGAAAUGCGCAGAUAUCAGGAAGAACACCAAUGGCGAAGGCAGCUCUCUGGGACGGUACUGACGCUGAGACGCGAAAGCGUGGGGAGCGAACAGG
rnacentral:rRNA from 1 species